GACGUAGGGUGCAAGCGUUGUCCGGAAUUAUUGGGCGUAAAGAGCUCGUAGGCGGUUUGUCGCGUCUGCUGUGAAAACCCGAGGCUCAACCUCGGGCCUGCAGUGGGUACGGGCAGACUAGAGUGCGGUAGGGGAGAUUGGAAUUCCUGGUGUAGCGGUGGAAUGCGCAGAUAUCAGGAGGAACACCGGUGGCGAAGGCGGGUCUCUGGGCCGAUACUGACGCUGAGGAGCGAAAGCGUGGGGAGCGAACAGG
rnacentral:rRNA from 1 species